GAGCCAUUAGCUCAGUUGGAAGAGCACCUGACUUUUAAUCAGGGUGUCGUUGGUUCGAGUCCAACAUGGCUCACCA
rnacentral:tRNA from 1 species